GACGAACGCUGGCGGCGUGCCUAAUACAUGCAAGUAGAACGCUGAAGGAGGAGCUUGCUUCUCUGGAUGAGUUGCGAACGGGUGAGUAACGCGUAGGUAACCUGCCUGUUAGCGGGGGAUAACUAUUGGAAACGAUAGCUAAUACCGCAUAAGAGUAGAUGUUGCAUGACAUUUGCUUAAAAGUUGCAAUUGCAUCACUACCAGAUGGACCUGCGUUGUAUUAGCUAGUUGGUGGGGUAACGGCUCACCAAGGCGACGAUACAUAGCCGACCUGAGAGGGGGAUCGGCCACACUGAGACUGAGACACGGCCCAGACUCCUACGGGAGGCAGCAGUAGGGAAUCUUCAGCAAUGGGCGGAAGACUGACCGAGCAACGCCGCGUGAGUGAAGAAGGUUUUCGGGUCGUAAAGCUCUGUUGUAAGGGAAGAACGAGUGUGAGAGUGGAAAGUUCACACUGUGACGGUAUCUUACCAGAAAGGGACGGCUAACUACGUG
rnacentral:rRNA from 1 species